rnacentral:lncRNA from 1 species
CUGGUGCUCCUUUGACUAAAUUUUUUGCUUCACCGCGCGGAUUGCCUGCGAAUGUUCCACCAUGAAGUGUCAACCUGAUACUUAGGUUCAUCGAACAAUGAGAUUUAGUAUCAUUUGUAUUGAAAUUGAACGAUCCAUCCCACUACAUCAAUUCAUUACCAAUGCAUCACAUACCUACGUAUACUGACCCAAUAAGCAUGUUGGACCACCUCCUUGCCUAAAAUAUUACUACCUCCGUUCCUAAACGAUUGUCGUUUAAGGUUUUGGCACAUAGAUUAAGAAAGUAUCAUUUACUAAGUAAAAUUUGUUUGAAAUUCCAUCACUACCCUUUUAUGGGAAGUUGAAAAAUAUUAAUACAAGGGAGAUAAUUUCUUGGAACAAUGAGAGAAGGUAGGGGUAAUAUAGGAAAGUAAAUAAUUUAUUCUCCUCGAAAGUUGUAAACGACAAACUUUUUGGAACAAAUUUUUUCUUCUAAAACGACAAUCUUUUAAGAACGGAGGGAGUAACAUAUUAGGUUGAUAUAACUCUACCAUAUUUAUUAACUAAUCUACAAUUUUGAAUUUUUGCUAUGUAAGAUAUCUGAAUAAUAUAUUGUUAUAGGAAAUCACAAGUGAGUUAAAGUCUCACAUCGGAUAAAUAAUGAAAAAGUGAAAGAUUAAUAUAUAUGAAUGAGGCAAAGACCUAAUGACUUAACCUUUUGGGUCAAGUUGGGUUCCAAAUAUAUAUGUAUGUUAGUGUUUUGUGCAUGCGGGCUAGUGUCGUUUACAACUUACUAAGAGAAUAAAUUAUUUACUUUCAUAUAUUACCCCUAACUUCUCUAAUUGUCCAAAGAAAUUCUUUUUUGUAUUAGUAGUUUUCAACUUCCCAUAAAGGAGUAAUGAUGUAAUUUAAUAUAAAUUUUAAUUAUUAAAUGAUAAUAUAAAAUAAUUUUCUUAAUUAAUGUGCAUGAAGCUAAACCAGCUAUUAUUAUAAAAUGAAGAUAGUACUCCCUCCAUUCCAUUAUAACUUGCGUUUUACACAAUUUGAUUUAUUCCAAAAUAUUUGACUUAAUGAAAUCAAAGCGUAAUUAAUAUUUUUUCUUCCAAAUUUACCCUUAUCCUUGUUUUCUAGUAAGUGUUAAAUUAAUGCACAUAAUAAUUAGUUUUUUUUUAACUUUUCAAUGCAUUAUAGAUUAAUUAGGUGUAGGCUACCUGCCUUCCAUAUUUCUUUCCUUCCCGAUACAUAUUAAUUAAGGGUAUUUUAGUCAUGUAUAAUAAUUUUUUACUCAUAUUAAUAAUUUUUUUAAUUCAUGUGCAAAAAUUUUAAACGACACUUAUUUAAGAAUGAAGGGAGUAAUAUUUUGUGUAAGCACAUGUGACACACGAACUUAGGGGUUCUGCCCAAACACAAAUUAAAGUUCUAGCUAGCUAGGUAGUUGAUGAUGUAACAAUUUUCAAUAUCUUCGUUAAGACAAUUUCGUAUAAACAUGCGCGAUUGUUCUUGGACUAAGAUCCUCUAUAUUUUAAAUAAAUGGAGAUUCUAUUUCAUAAUUCAGAUUUAAAAUUAUCUCUCUCCUAUUAGCAUAAUGUCACAUUUUAACAUAUUUUAAAUCUUAACCAUUGUAUAGGCACUUACCAAAAAGUAUAAUUUUUACUUCAAAUAUUUCUUUGAAUUUUUGAAAGUAUCAUUUUUAGACAAAACUCCAAAAGUCGAAUCAAAAUUCAAUGCUUAGUGGCAGUGGGCUACGAUCGAGUUGGUUUUUUGUUUUCGUUUUUCCAUUGACUGUUUGCUCCAACAUGAUUUACUACUCCAUUCUACUGCUCCCACACUCACACACACACACACACACACACACACACACACACACAUAUAGGUGUUUUAUAUUUUCUGUAUGGGAUAAUUUUCGUAGUUCCUAAGGAUAGGAAGAACUAAAGAAUUUAAAUUAAGCCAAUUAAAGUAAUUGAUGUGCAAAUAUCAAAAUAAAAUAAAAUUGACGUGUUCUUAAAAUACUCUUAUUAAACAAGUUUGUUAAUAUUCAACACAUUAAAACAAAACUCGUACCGUACUUUACAUCUAUUACGAACAAAAACAGCUUAUAGGAAAUUGUAUAGACCGUGCAGCCGUGUAGUUAACCACCUUUUUGUUGAUAUAAUACUAUUCGUCUUUUUGAAUAAGUUCAUUCUAUAGUUAGCCAUUCAAUUCUAGAUACAUAUAAUAAUUCAACUUCCAAUGCUUUUAAUAAUUAUAUAUACCAUUUCCAGGGGAGCUAAAUUUGACUCCAAAUUUAAUUUGUAAAACCUAUAAUAUUAACUAGAAUGCAUGUGCGUGCCAUCUAAGUUACACAAUUAAAAACAAGCCUUCUCAUCUUAUUUCACACUUUAAUACAAAUAUAAAAGACAUAUGUAACAUAAACCCUCAAGUCAUCAGUCUAAUUAAUUAGGCCUAUGCUAUAGCGUAAAUAUCCAAAUUAACUAAUAAUUUUUUUUUCUUGCCAACUCAUCGAUCUCUCAAAUAUGGAUGAAGAAUAUCAUCGCCGCCACGAUGUCAACCCACUCUUUGUCGGACUUCUCGGGGUUAUUGCCGGAGCCAUCAUAGUUGCAACAGUCCAUUGCAUGCUACUUGGUUGGUGCAAAGCCGAAGAGAGGCGGCCAGAAAGCCCUGAAAAUCGACGUCCAGGAAAUGUCCAAACCAAUAGUACUAAUCGAGACCAUGGUGCGGCUAGCACUAGUAGCAUGAGCAGCAAUUCGACUGUGCAACUUAUUCCAAUUUUUAAGUACACAAAAGAGUGUAAAGAAGGGGCAUGUGCUAUAUGUCUAGGUGAGUUCAAUGAAAAUGAUGAGCUACGCGUAUUGCCCGAAUGUGCACAUCCUUUUCAUGUGCCGUGUAUUGAUAUGUGGCUAUACUCGCACCCAAACUGCCCGCUUUGUCGUGCUGAUAUCGCGCCUCCUCCGCCAGUCGACCAUGUUGUGGUGUCGUUAGCUGACGAUGCCGGUGCCGACGGCUCAUCACCAGAGAUUUCAGUGGCUAAUCAAUAAUUUUGUAGCAAUGUAUGUAUAUACAUAUAUGAAAGUUUCCAAGUGUAAUGUUUUUAUUUUUGAUGACUUGUUUUUUAUAGCUGAGAAGCUAUGGUGAUCAGCUUAUUGGUUUAUUAUGUUAACAGAGCCCAGGAAGCCUAACUCAUUUAUUUGCAAAACCAAUAUAUUAGUUUCAAUGCCCCUGUGAUUAAUCAUUCAGUCCAAUAUUCAAAGAAUUUUCGAGUCCCAAAUUAAAGAUUUCUACGUUAUAGGGCUUUAUGAUUAAUGUACAAUCAGAAAUAGAUAUGACGUUUUUCAUUCUGAUAAUAGUACAUCAUGUUUCGGCCCAACUUCUUUGUCGUUUGCAAAUAAAGCCUAUCAUUUCGCAGCCACAUUUUAGAGCAUUUAUCUUAAAACUCCCGUACGUCUAUUUGAAAAUAAUAAAAUGGAAAACAGUACUGUUAACGCCUGAUUUUAUACGUCUGACGAAAUUACUAAAAUAGCAGGCUAAAAUAGAGCCAACGGUUAAUGGAGUAAUUGUUGUGAAAUUAAACUCACGAAAUACACUCACAUAAACAUAAAUAAAAAAAUAUAAAGUAUGAACACAAGAAUUUACGUGGAAACCCAAUUGAAAAAAACCCACAGAGGUUUGUGUUGUAUCUCUUGUGCCCUAUCAUGUUCUUCUAUUCUCUUCCUCCCUCUAACCCUAGCUUGUAGCCGUAUAUAUAGAAGUAAUCUCCACCUGCAUCCCACUAGGAGAGGAUUCCUUAUCCCUCCAAAUAAGAAAAUACAAUCCUAUUCUAAUAAGGACUUUUCCACUGUCAUAAUAAAUACAUAUGGGCCAUCACCAGAUCCGGACCAUUAAAUAGAUUGAACUGCACUAUGGCUAGACCCAAAUAAUCACACUCCAACAUUGCCCCCAGUCUCUCAUUUAUAAGCCCAGUCUCUUAUUUAUAAGGAACUUAUAAAUGAGAGACUAUACAAAUUUAUCCCAACAAAACGACCAUAUUUGUCGAAGACAAAAUAUCACACCUGAACUCCAUGUGCCGAACUAAAAUUGUUGGCUCCCAAUAUCGCUGCCCCACUCCUCUUGUUCACUCGUAAGAUAGAUAAAUAAUUUCCCUUAUUACUACCGAAGAUAUAAAGAACCAACCUUAUACCAACCGAACCAACCUUAUCACUACUGAAGAUAUAAAGAACCAACCUUAUCACAACCGAAGAUAUAAAGAACUAACCUUAUCACAACCGAAUUUAUAGAGAACCAACCUUAUCACAACCGAACCAACCUUAUUACAACUGAAGAUAUAAAGAACUAACCUUAUCACAACCGAAUAUAUAUAGAGAACCAACCUUAUCACAACCGAACCAACCUUAUCACAGCCGAAUAUAUAUAGAGAACCAACCUUAUCACAACCGAACCAACCUUAUCACUACCGAAGAUAUAAAGAACCAACCUUAUCACAACCGAAGAUAUAAAAAACCAACCUUAUCACAACCGAAUAUAUAUAGAGAACCAACCUUAUCACAACCGAAUAUAUAGAGAGAACCAACCUUAUCACAACCGAGAUAUAAAGAACCAACCUUAUCACAACCGAAUAUAUAGAAAACCAACUUUAUCACAACCGAACCAUCCAACCUAACACCAAUUAUAAAGUUCGUACCGAAGAACUAAACGUAUCCGUUUUAAAGAACCGUAAAAAUGUUUAUUUCGACCGUUUGGGAGGACGUUGGUCCGUCCCGAAGGAUAUUGUCCGAUCGAGAUGAUGAUGGUCCGUACCGAAAGAAGUUAUCCGUUCGGGAGGACGUUGGUCCGUUCCGAAGGAAGUUAUCCGUUCGAGAGGACGUCGGUCCGUCCCGAAGGAAGUAAUCCGUUCGGGAGGACGAUGGUCCGUCCCAAAGGAUGUUUGACCGUUCGGGAGGACGUUAGUCCGUCCCGAAGGAUGUGAUCCGUUCGGGAUGACGAUGGUCCGUCCCGAAGGAAGUUAUCCGUUUGGGAGGACGUUGGUCCGUCCCGAAGGAUCCAACCUUAUUACGCCAUCCAACCUUAUACCGUCAAAAUAGUCGUCCCGACCCCAGUGGGAGGCUUCCUUUCGGGAGAACUAAGCCUUCCCGAAGGAUCCAACCUUAUUAAGCCAUCCAACCUUAUACUGCCUAAAUAGCCGUUUCGACCCUAGUGGGAGGCUUUAUAUUUCCAAAUGUAGAUAGCCAAAGACAUGAUGAAGCCGAUGUGAUAUAUUUCGAAGCAAACUGCCAUUAUCCGAAGAGGGUUGUUGUUGCCCGAAGUAGAUUGUUGUUACCCAAAAUGACUUGAGUGAACAUCUCGAACUAUCAAAACUCAUACAAGGCUUGUAUAUCCUUUGUCAAAAAUAUUUUCUCCUCCGACAACAGUUGGCCUGCCGAAGAUGAUGGAUGACUACCAACAGGAACGCCGAACAUAUUAUGAUGAUGUGUUCGACGAGAAAUUGAAUACUGAGGAUGAUUGAAUCCACGCCAAACUCUUUUGUCCAUGCUAAUGCGCUAAAAAAAAAGCUCCAUUUAUGAUAGGGUGUUGGUAUUAAAUUUGAAUGGUGAGACAAUCUCCCCAUUGACAGAAGCAUGAGGCCGAAGAUUUGUAUUAUUGAUUGGCUUCGGGAAGUAAAAAUUCCAACGUUAUAAUCGAAGAUGAAGUUGUAUUUCUUGUGUCGGAGGCCAGCCAUGUGUCCACCAUGAGAUUCGGAAAAACAAUAUGAUAAACAUAAUUAUAUUUUAUCCAUGAGAACUACCAAUGAAGGCAACAUGUAGUAUGAGGUCCAUCCUUUUACCAAGCCAGGUUGAACAAUUUGUUGAUUAGUCUUCAUGCAUCUAAAAUAUUUACCGCAUGCAUAAUCAAUGAAGUAUAAUAUUUAAAUUGAAAAAAAAGGUGAGGGACUUAGCUUUGAAUUUCCAGAGGACUGUGCUCGGGGUAUUCUCAUGAUUUUUGAAGGUUUUAUUCGGUGAUUUUAUUUUGACAAUAAAUUUUCGUUCCCACAGACAGCGCCAAUGUUAACGCCUGAUUUUGUACGCCUGACGAAAUCACCAAAAUAGCGCCAACGGUUGAUGGAGUAAUUGUUGUAAAAUUAAACUCACGAAAUACACUCACAUAAACAUAAAUAAAGAAAUAUAAAGUAUGAACACAAGAAUUUACGUGGAAAUCCAAUUGGGGAAAAACCACGGAGGGAGAGUAAUCUACUAUAAUAAUAUUGUGAGUACAAGUUGUGUAUUUGUGUUGUAUCUCUUGUGCCCUAUCAUGUUGUCUUCUAUUCUCUUCCUCCCUCUAACCCUAGCUUGUAGCCGUAUAUAUAGAAGUAAUCUCCACUUGCAUCCCACUAGGAGAAGGAUUCCUUAUCCCUCCAAAUAAGGAAAUACAAUCCUAUUUUAAUAAGGACUCUUCCACUGUCAUAAUAAAUACAUAUGGGUCAUCACCAAAUUCGGACCAUUAAAUAGAUUGGGCUGCACUAUAGCUAGACCCAAAUAAUCACACUCCAACAAGUACAAUUACCAAAUCGCCUAGAUCAGAAAAUUAUUCCUAUUCAUUGACUUUUAAUAUUAGUUAGCACACCUAACUAUUUAUACAUUUGUUUUCCGGUUUAAAAACUUAGAUUUUAUUAUAUAAAUUUUAAUUAUAGUUAUAUUUUAUACCAAUAAAACUUAAUUUCGAUAAAUAAAAAAAAUGACUUCCCUAAUUACAUUUACCAUCUAUUUUUAUACAAAAUUUUUAUAGGCUGGAUAUUGAAUAAAAGGGUAUAAGAUUUAUAAAAUUUCAUCUAUAUAAAAAUAAAAUCAGUCCUACAUGCUAGACAGUGUACUACACAGUGUGUACACAGUUGUGUACUACACAAUCCUCUAUGACGAUAAUUUUUUAAGCUAUGACGACGGUUCAACCGUCAUUAUAGAUAUUCUGGUCUAUGACGACGGUUGACGACUAUAGCUAAAAAAAAUCGCCGCCAUUGUACGAUUACCAUCGCUAUAGCUCAAAAAACUGUCAUCAUAGCACGACUAUAUACUACACAAAUGUGUAUAUACAUAUAGCUCAUAUAUAUAUAUAUAUAUAUAUAUUUAUAUAUAUAUAUAUAUAUAUAUGAAAAAGAUCCAUAUUAACAUCUAUUUGUAAUGGAUCAAAAAGUGGCAUAUAGCAUCUUAACAUUCUAUUAGAACUAUAAAUGGCCCAGAGCCGUCCGCUAGUAAUUCUAGCAGAAUGAUUUUAAACAAUUUUAGGUCGAUUAUGCCCCUAAUUAGCCGAGGUAAAAAUAAAACAUCAUGUCCCCUAGAAAUUCUGACGGACACAUAUUACAUAUGAAAACAACUUUAAUCGACUGUGAAAAGGUAACAAACUCAGUUAGCCCACUGCUUUAUUUCCCAAACGUAAACAUUAUUCUUUUCUAGCGUUCUUCUUUUCCUAUAAAUAUCAGUUUUGUUCUGCAGAGAAGGGACUUCGAAUCUGUUCUUUCCCACUACACGCUCCUCUACCUUGUGCCGCCCAACGGAGUCUGUCUGGCAGUUCUCCAAUUGCUUUGUCCUCAAAAUCUACCCGAUGGGUAAGUUCAAAGGUCUUUUCGAACGGGGUUGUUGUUAGCCGUGGGUAGUUUGAUGUACUGGUUUUGGGUGCUGGGUGGUGAUGGAAUCCUUCUUCUGCUCGCCGGGAUUUAAGGCUCCAUCCGAAUUAAGGAGAAGCCACAGUCUAAGAAACCAAGGUAUAAUGUAAUAAUGUACACAGAGUCAACACCUCUACCAAUAAGGAAUCAAGUAAAGUAAUCGACAUAGACAAGUCCAAAGCCUCCUUCUGUGAGUACACACGAUCAGAGAAUUCGCCGUUGAAUCCUAGAGAGUGACUGUCGGUAGCCCAUUUGUACUUGUGAUUGCUAUCAGUGGGGGUAAAAUUACUUUUUAGGACAGUAGCUUUGCUACGCCUCGGUUUCCAACUAAGUUGUUCCAAUUUACUGUAUUAUUCGUCUUGUUAAUUCUGCUCUAUUUUCCAACAGUUAUAUGCCAAUUUUUGAUACAUAGCAAAUAGAUGAUAUGGAUUAUUGCCCAUAUAUAUAUAUAUAUAUAUAUAUAUAUAUCAAGUGAAUACCCAUUUAUUUAACAUACUUUGCUCACCACUUUUAGCGACGGAACGAGUGCUGGUUCAGUCCAUCACGUAUAUCAGAGAUCCGUCGUCUUACCUUUAUCGACGCACCAAACCGUCGUCAUAACAUAUAAACCGUUUAUCUGUUCUAUAGUGACGGACCAAACCAUCGUUUGAUCCGUUGCUAAAGGUGAUAAGCAGAAUAUAUAAAAUAAAAGGUAUACACUAUAAACAGAUUAUAUAUAUAUACUAGUUGUGUCCCGUGCCUCCGGCACUAUGAACGGUGAAAUUUAUCCCAAACUUUAAACGGUCCAAAUAAUUUAUUAGAAUGAACGAAAAAUUCAAAAUCAUUUGUAUUUUGUUAUAUAUAUAUAUAUAUACACCGCUUUUUCAAGGGAUUGGCUCCAACGACAGUAUCCAUCGCUAUAGAUAUACAGUAGCUAUUUGACGUUACAUAAUUUGUCUUCUAACUUGGAAACUAGCUCAAGUACUUUUUAUUCACUUAUUUUGGGAGAAACAAUUAUUAUUAUUAUUAUUAUUAUUAUUAUUAUUUAUUUUUGCUAAAUAAACAAUUAUUAUUCUCCACAUAAAUUCAAACAUAGACUCUAACUACAAUAUUCAUUAUGAGAAUCCAUUUCAUGUUUCUCAUUAGGCGGCUGAUGAAUUAACACACUAAAAGUUUAAUUCUAUCCUUUUACAUGGCCGCCACCUCCACCACAAUCCCGACCACACCCACCACCAAUCUCAGCUCAACUCUCCCAUCUCCGGCAGGCAAUUCGGGUGGCUCCGACUCGACCGCUCUCACGGCAAUUCUCUCUUUCUUAGCACUCAUCUGCAUACCCAUCUUGAUUUACGCUUUCUUCUUCGCUAUAAGAUGUCCUCCCAACCCUUUCGAGUGGAGACGCCGGAGGGCCGGCAGACUCGCCGGCGAGUUGGCCGACAAAACUGGACAUGUAGAGUUGGUAUAUAGUGUUGUUGAGUACAAGAAGGAGACAAAUGAAACAAAUCACGGCGCCGGUGAGUGUUCGGUGUGUUUAUCAAUGUAUACGGACGGGGAGGAGGUGCGGCAGCUCAAGGUGUGCAAACACAUGUUUCACGUUGCAUGUAUUGAUAUGUGGCUCUCUUCACACUCCAGUUGUCCCGUUUGUCGCUCUUCUAUCGGCGGCGUCAAACGGUCCAACCGACUGGUCAUAGACGGCGACGAUGAUCUUCGGCAAGGUUUGCCGGAUUCUGCCUCUUUGGUCUGAAUAUUGUUUUUUGAUUCUAUUUUUCUUUUUCUUUUUCCCUACUUUGGGAACAAUUUAUGCCCCUUUUUCUAAUGAGCAAGUAGUGAAUGCAAAUUUAGAAGAUCAUUACAUAACCCUCUUUUAAUGUUCCAAAAAAUUAAAUUAUCCGUCCUAUGUUAUUGUUUGUUUUGGUUGUAUUUUAAAAAAAAAGAAAGCAUAAGUAUAUAGAUGUACAAAUAAAAUGAAAUAAUGUUUUGAGUCUACAAGAAAUUAAAUUAUACCCUUCCUGCUGACUCUGGUGAUUUUUCUUGAGUUCCAUUCUUUUGUUCUUUUCUAUAUAUCGAUCCUAACGUAAUUGUAAAGGAGCUACAUCGUUUUCUAUUCUAUGGGACAAAAUGAAAAUUUAAUAAUGGUAAAAAAAUUCCCAGUGGUUUGAAUUUGAUCCUUGAUUUGGUGACCUGCAGCCUGCCUAAUAUUAUUUGUUACUUGCUUGAUUGAGACUUUGAUCCAAGAAAAUAAGAUUUAUUUGAGCAAGUGAUAUUAUCAUCAACACCUUUUGAGACUUCAACCGUGUCUCUAUUCCUAUUCCUAUAUUUGAUGAAAUUAAAAGUAAAAUUCUUGUUACUCCAAUUCCAAUGGAGGCAGAUGUUCGUAGUUUAAUUGAGAAACAUGAAACAUCAAUACUAAAUUUACCCAUGAUAAUUUGUUAGAAUUUAAGAUUAAAUUAAAGUGAGGUUCAUUAAUCAUUUAAGCGAAAUUCACAUAUCAAUGUGUUCUAUUCCACGAGUAAAUUAAAAUUAAGUAUUAAAAAAUUCAAAUUCAUGGAGUAAUGAAUGAUAAAUUUACUCUCAAAAAUCACCCUUGAAAAUGUUAAUAAAUAUUUGUGGGAAACUAAAGUCCCACAUCGAUUAAGGACAAAAACAAUUGAGUAUAUAUACAAUUAGAUUUAGCCCCGUCUACAUAAUUAGAUUUACUCUCUAAUUGUAUAUAUACUCAAUUGUUUUUGUCCUUAAUCAAUAUACUAAGCAUCGGCUAGUAAAUCUAUCGGACGGAAAUAAAACCAAGCUUCAAAUCCUGUGAGUCUUGCAAACAGUGAUACACAUUACAACAAGAAUCCAAGUCACACAAGGAGCAAUGGCCAAUGAGUGAUAUUUUUGUAAAUAAAAGGAAAGCAAGUGAAACUACUCUAUUUUAAUAUUAUUUUGUAUUUUAAAAUAAUCUCUAAAACGACGUAGUUUUACUAAAAGAGUACUAUUUAAGAAGAUUAUUUUAGAUUCAUUCCGAAUUAAAAUCAAUUUUGGUCGGAACUGCCCCCACUCAGGCCAAAACAAUGCAGGAAUGAUGGAAUUUUUAAUCUGUUCGCUAGCUAACCAAGAAGUAAACUCAAAUCCAAGUCAGAGAAGGACACACAAUUUAUAAAUCCAAUUCACAACCAAGUUUUGUAAACUCAAAUCCAACCCAAGUGAGUAAUCUAAUCAAGUUCUGUAAACUCAAAUCCAAUCAAUGUCAGAUGCUUGUUAGACAUUCUAAAAAUCAUCUCUUGCAAUGCAAACAACAAAUAAUAGAAUAAUUUAAUUAGAAAGAAGAAAGACAUACCACAGACCACCAAAAGGAACAGGAGAAAGUGAAAAAUACAAGUCCUUUGCCCCCAAUCUCUAGAAAUAGCUACCUGGAUCUUCAAUCGUCAAAACCCACAGUGAAGUAAAAAGAAAAGAUAUCAUAAUUCCUAUCCUAGCAACCAAAUCUUCCACGCGUUCGCUACUAACGAUUCCAAUUGAAUUGUUUUGGUUGCUCUUAAUCGUUGAUGGAGUUGAGGAAUAACUAAGGAUUCCAAUUGAAGGGUUUUGGCAGAGGAUUGAAUGAUGAAAUUGAGGAAUCGCCUAUGAUAUUAACAACAUAUAUUUUCUGGUUCUCUACAUAUUUGUUUGCCAAUUCAUUACAGAAAAGUAGUACCGCUGUUUGCUCCACCGAUCUCCUCUUUAACUAUGGUUGUUGAUUUGUCCUUUUACAGUCCACGACAUCGAUCAAGAUUUGAAUUGAUUAGAGAAAGAUGAGUCUCAAUGUAAAAGUUUGAUGAGUUCAUGGAUGAAAGCCACGUUUCAAUUUUUAUGCUACCCAUU